CGUAGUUCUGUUGCUUUGUUGUCUUUGGUUGUCGGUAUUAUUAAAAUCCACUGCUCCAGUAUGUCUUCAUUUAUUAAAAUACAAUCUCUGAAAAGCAGUUUGUUUGGAGGCGUACGAAAUCCAGUGCUGUGUUUAUCUAGGUUUGUUAUUUUGAGUAUGCGUAUGGUGUCCAUUGUCAUGUAAUCGUAUCGGGUUAAGAAGUUAUUUGUGUGUUCGAAGUUUGGUUGCGCGUUGCGCGAUUACUUGCUAGUUGCAAGCAGUUAUUUUUAUCGGUGUACUGCUACAAAUUAUUCGAUUGUUGUAAAAGACGUCUCCAGGGCUAUUACGAGUCAUAACAUCUCAAAAUUGAUGAAAAUACGUCCUAAAAUAAUCUCCCUUCGUUGUCUCAUACCAUUAUUAUAUAUACUGUCUGAUGUUUUGGAGCAUUAGUAACAUCCAGUACUGGUUUGUUGGCAUGUGUACAUAGUGACAAUAUUGACGACAUUUUGUAUACUCUGGACGUAGGCGUUUCUGUCAUAUGGAUGACGUCAUGGGUCAAAGCAGAUGGAUUAAAUCGGAUGCUUCCCUAAUGCCGAGUUCCGAAGGACACUAAUGACAGCAGCAGAGAAGCUUGCCGCUGUUCCUGAUGUGGAUAUCGACCCAGAA